CAGGCCUAACACAUGCAAGUCGAGCGGUAGCACAGAGAGCUUGCUCUCGGGUGACGAGCGGCGGACGGGUGAGUAAUGUCUGGGAAACUGCCUGAUGGAGGGGGAUAACUACUGGAAACGGUAGCUAAUACCGCAUAACGUCGCAAGACCAAAGUGGGGGACCUUCGGGCCUCAUGCCAUCAGAUGUGCCCAGAUGGGAUUAGCUGGUAGGUGGGGUAACGGCUCACCUAGGCGACGAUCCCUAGCUGGUCUGAGAGGAUGACCAGCCACACUGGAACUGAGACACGGUCCAGACUCCUACGGGAGGCAGCAGUGGGGAAUAUUGCACAAUGGGCGCAAGCCUGAUGCAGCCAUGCCGCGUGUGUGAAGAAGGCCUUCGGGUUGUAAAGCACUUUCAGCGGGGAGGAAGGCGGUGAGGUUAAUAACCUUAUCGAUUGACGUUACCCGCAGAAGAAGCACCGGCUAACUCCGUGCCAGCAGCCGCGGUAAUACGGAGGGUGCAAGCGUUAAUCGGAAUUACUGGGCGUAAAGCGCACGCAGGCGGUCUGUCAAGUCGGAUGUGAAAUCCCCGGGCUCAACCUGGGAACUGCAUUCGAAACUGGCAGGCUAGAGUCUUGUAGAGGGGGGUAGAAUUCCAGGUGUAGCGGUGAAAUGCGUAGAGAUCUGGAGGAAUACCGGUGGCGAAGGCGGCCUGCUGGACAAAGACUGACGCUCAGGUGCGAAAGCGUG
rnacentral:rRNA from 1 species